rnacentral:lncRNA from 1 species
UGAAGAAAUAACCAUCUAAUUUCACUACAAACAUCAUCAACAACAUUUUGCUUCUACAACCUCUUCUUAGUUUCCAUUAUCUGCUCCUUUUUAAUGCCUGCAGCUCCAUCUGCUAAUAACGGGCUGCGCUGGGGAUUAGCUUGUUUAUGUGCUCCCGUUGGCAGCUUUACGUGGGGGAGGUGGAGCAAAAUGAUUAUAACCUCCUUGUGCUCCUUUGCCCUGAUCCCUGCGAAAGAACAGCUUGCCCAGAUGAUGCCAUGAGAUGCUUCACAGUGUCAGCUAUAGCUGGAUUGAAGCUGGUCUUUGGCUCUAAAGUAUGCCCAGGCUGCCACCCCUCUUCUGAGCACAUUGACAUGCCCCAGGUUCCUCAUGUGGUUCUUCUGGUCCUCCUCCCUGAGCACAAACUUGAAAACAACCAGAAAUCCUCAUCGGGACCGACACAGGGUAUGGUGCCCCUGUGGGGUCUCCACCCUUUCUGAGAAAGGAAUGAGGUGCUCAAGACCAGCACAGCCAUGGGAGCUCACGGAAACCCUGGAGGUAGAACUUGUUUCCAAUUACUCCUGAAGCUGCCAAGGAAAGCAAACCUCACUUUUAGAAAGUUCUGCCCCUUGGCUUCUGCUGCAAUGACCAUUUGGCUUCAGUAACAUCUGUGUGUCCUCAGCAGCUCCGAGAAACAGUGUGUUUCUGUCAGGUACCCAAAGAGGUGUUGAAGAGCUGGAGUUAAGUACUUGGUCUUGACAAUCUGAUGAAAUGGGAUUUUUCAUAAAAAGUCCUAGUGGUUGUAUUUCAUCAAAAAUAGGGGCAGAUACUGCUGCCUUCAAUACUUGCCUUUUCCUGUUUGUAUACUAACACACACGUCAUCAGCUGUGUCUUGAAACACUGAUUUGGAAAAAUAAAUUUAGUUUAUUGUAUUAACA